GAAGGUAUAGCUCAAGUGGUAGAGCACAUGCUUAGCAUUCAUGAGGUCCUGGGUUCAAUCCCCAGUACCUCCU
rnacentral:tRNA from 1 species